GCGGACUAAGCUCAUUCCGAACUUAAAUUCCCCUCCUCCUCACGGCGGAACAAUAACAAGCUGUGGACUUUCUGGCAACUUCUCAACCAGGACAGCCAUUUUCUACUGGUAUUUUGCAUAAGGCUCUGGGAAACGAUACGUCGUCUUUCCAAUUCGGCUUCACUGAAGCGAAUCCUGCCAUGAGAGCUGCACUUCAACCAAGGAAUUAUAGUUCACCACUUUCUCGUUCACACCACAUCCUCGUUAUCCUGCUCGCUUCCAAAGCUACCAAUUAAAUUAUCAUACAUUCAUAACAGAGGAAGAAAGAAAUGAGUGAAAAUAGACUUAUUUUAACUGCUUUAGCAGUCAAGGGUCAAGGAUUAAGUUAGAGAAGAGCUGAGCUGCUUUCUAUAUAUCUAGACAAUAUUUGCAUCUCUAUAUUGAUAUUUAGAACUAAUAGUAGACGCCACCGGUC
rnacentral:sRNA from 1 species